rnacentral:rRNA from 1 species
UGGGGAAUUUUGCACAAUGGGGGAAACCCUGAUGCAGCGACGCCGCGUGAUUUAGAAGGUCUUCGGGUUGUAAAAAUCUUUUCUAUGGGAAGAAAAUGACAGUACCAUAGGAAUAAGGACCGGCUAAUUACGUGCCAGCAGCCGCGGUAAUACGUAAGGUCCGAGCGUUGUCCGGAAUCAUUGGGCGUAAAGGGUACGUAGGCGGGUAAGCAAGUUAGAAGUGAAAUCCUAUAGCUCAACUAUAGUAAGCUUUUAAAACUGCUCAUCUUGAGGUAUGGAAGGGGAAGUGGAAAUCCUAGGGUAGCGGGUGAAUGCGCAGAAAUUAGGGGGAAUACCGGUGGCGGAAGCGACUUUCUUGCCAUAAACUGGCGCUGGGGUACGAAAGCGUAGGUGGCAAACAGG